UCCGAAUUGGUCCAGUGGCUAGGAUUUCCCGCUCUCCCCGGGACGGCCGGGGUUCGAUUCCCCGAUUCGGAG
rnacentral:tRNA from 1 species